GGCUUAGUGGUAGAGCGUCUGCUUUGCAUGUAGAAGGUCCCAGGUUUGAUCCCUGUCAUCUCCA